CAAGCGAUGUUUCGCAUCUAGUCUACUCUACUCUACUCUACUAUCAUCUAACCUACGUGCGAUUACCAUUGUGUGAACGAUCCAACGCGUAUACUACGUGGGGCUACGACUAAACCAGAGGAGAUCGGAGUAUCCGGAGAAGAUCGAGAAAUGGAGCUGUCGCGGCCCCGGAAACUCGGAAGCUUACGAAAGGAGAAGCUGGAGAAGAAGGAGAAGGAGCAGUAAGAGGAGAGUUUUCACCUUCCUGUCCGCUCCACCGGUGGCCAGGAUUCUGUCGACUGGAGACCAUUUUACAGCGUACACUUCUCCCUCGUGAGCAUUCUGGAAGGGUUAUAAAUACUUGGCGUAUAAAUUUUAAAGAAUUCAUGCAUACAUUACGCACGAAUAAACGUUAAACUAACAAAAACAAAAACAAAUAACGGAGUGGGGGUAGGGGGGAUUCUUUUUCGAAACAAAUUCUUUCUAUUCGGUCGAGUCAAACGUGGAAAAUUAAAAACUUCUACCUUUUGUUUUGCAAUCUACAUUCCGCCAUAAUAACGAGUAAGUUGAUGUAAUUGUUAAAAAUAAUAUAUUCGUUUGAAUCCUACUGAAAUUUUUCGUUAAAAAAAAACAAUAUAAUAAUUAAAACUUUACAAAUAUUAAAGAAAAUAUGGCGGAAAUUUUUAAUUCGACACAAUUAAGUUUCAUUAAGUACUGAUAAUUAUUUCUAAUUUGUUCCAAUUAAAAUACGUAAAAUG
rnacentral:lncRNA from 1 species